rnacentral:misc_RNA from 1 species
GAUGAAGAACGCAGCGAAAUGCGAUAAGUAAUGUGAAUUGCAGAAUUCAGUGAAUCAUCGAAUCUUUGAACGCACCUUGCGCUCUUUGGUAUUCCGAGGAGCAUGCCUGUUUGAGAGUCAUGAAAUUCUCAACCUUUCAGGCUUUUUAUGAAAGCUGGUUAGGCUUGGAUUCUGGGAGUUUGCUGGCUCUUCUUCGAGUCAGCUCUUCUUAAAUAUAUUAGCAAGAUCAUCACUCAAUCAUCUUUGAUAUGAUAAUUAUCUAUAUCAUUAAUGAUACUAGGCAUUUCCUUCACGGGAAAAGAUCAGGCUUAUAGCUGUCUCAGGACAAUAUAUUUGAAUCAUUUGACAUCAAAUCAGGUAGGACUACCCGCUGAACUUAAGCAUAUCAAUAAGCGGAGGA